rnacentral:ribozyme from 1 species
UGCUCAUCAACUCAUAUCCCAACCUCCGCGAGGCAUCGUCCGGGCUGCAAGCAACUUUAGGGAAGAUCGGGUAACCAACCUCGGUGGGAACUUUGGUCGUAGGCUGACAGGGAAGG